UACAGAGGGUGCAAGCGUUGUUCGGAAUUAUUGGGCGUAAAGGGCGCGUAGGCGGUGCGGUAAGUCUGCGGUGAAAUCUCCCGGCUCACUGGGAGCUGCCGUGGAACUGCCGUGCUUGAGUGUGGGAGAGGUGAGUGGAAUUCCCGGUGUAGCGGUGAAAUGCGUAGAUAUCUGGAGGAACACCGGUGGCGAAGGCGGCAUCCUGGACCGACACUGACGCUGAGGAGCGAAAGCCAGGGGAGCAAACGGG
rnacentral:rRNA from 1 species